GAAGUACCGUAGCAAUGCGGUAUUGUAAAGUGGCGAACNNNUGAGUAACANNNNNNNAACCUGCCCUCGAGAUUGGGAUAACCCCGCGAAAGCGGGGCUAAUACCGGAUAUGACCACAGGGACCAAAGUCCCAGGGGUAAAAGAUGGCCUCUGCUUGCAAGCUAUCGCUCGAGGAUGGGCCCGCGGCCCAUUAGCUUGUUGGCGGGGUAACGGCCCACCAAGGCUAUGAUGGGUAGCUGGUCUGAGAGGACGAUCAGCCACACUGGAACUGAGACACGGUCCAGACUCCUACGGGAGGCAGCAGUGGGGAAUAUUGCUCAAUGGGCGAAAGCCUGAAGCAGCAACGCCGCGUGGGGGAUGAAGGUCUUCGGAUUGUAAACCCCUUUCGACCGGAACGAAUCCCCUCUUGGUGAACAAUCAGGAGGAUCGACGGUACCGGGAGAAGAAGCCACGGCUAACUCUGUGCCAGCAGCCGCGGUAAGACAGAGGUGGCAAGCGUUGUUCGGAUUUACUGGGCGUAAAGCGCACGCAGGCGGUUUGGUAAGUCAGAGGUGAAAGCCCACGGCUUAACCGUGGAAUUGCCUUUGAUACUGCCUUUCUAGAGUGCAGGAGGGGGAAGCGGAAUUCCCAGUGUAGAGGUGAAAUUCGUAGAUAUUGGGAGGAACACCGGUGGCGAAGGCGGCUUCCUGGCCUGUAACUGACGCUCAUGUGCGAAAGCGUGGGGAGCAAACAGGAUUAGAUACCCUGGNNNNNCACGCCCUAAACGAUGGGCACUAGGUGUGGG
rnacentral:rRNA from 1 species